GCCUUGGCGCAAUGGUAGCGCGUUGGUUUUCGGUCAGAGAACACUUUACACCAAAGGUUGUGGGUUCGGUAAGCUUUGUCCCACUCUUCAUGAACCG
rnacentral:tRNA from 1 species